AGUAGGCAGGAUUGUCUUGCAAAGGAUUCUGAUAUGUCUGCCAAAACACCAAAUCGAAAUUUCAAAAGCAGCAAAAAGGAACCGCCAGAAAAGCAUAUUCCAGAACAUUCUAGAUUUGUUCCAUUCGUUUCUACAACUCAACUAACAAUCACACAAUCAGAGUGCAAAUCAGAAGCUCACAGCUACUCGUACAAGCAUGAUUAUGAUCGGUGAUGAUUCGCACUUUUAUUGGCGGUAGUGUAAAGCAAAUCCAGAAGAAAAAGGCAAAAUCAAUACAGAUGCUGUUGACGAAUUCAGAGAUGAAGAAACUAUGGCGUUACCGGAAGAUCGGGUAAGUAGUCAGAGAGGUGAGGAACGUCUUCCAGAGUGUAGCCAAAUUCGCCAGUAACGAUUUUCGCCAUGGAAUUUUUGCUCGGAUUCGGAAACGCGACUUUGUUCCGCACUUCGUGAUCGCCGCCGCCGCCGGAGCUCAGCUUCAACACCGCGGCUGGCGACGCAGCGCCUCCGCCAUUAGACGCCGACAGCAUCGACUUCGAAAACGCGAACGACCUCCUCAACAACAACCACAAUUUUCGGGAAAAAUCGAAAGGCGGCUUCCAGACCUCGAUCUCCUCCACAGCUGGUGAAUGAAUCGAAUCGAUCGUCGCCUAUUUCAAAGGAGCGGAAAUGAACAGGUGGCGGAGCUUUCUGGUGGCGAUCACGCCAUCGUCACGGAAAUCUGGAGCUGACAGUUGAGAAUCUCUUCCAAUGGGGAGAUGAUGAAAUUGCUGUCUCCAGGCCCAACUUCGAGCUUCCACAGUUCGGUCCAAGUUUUUAUGCGUGAUGUACAAUGGCUGGUUCCUGCCGCGAAUUUAUAGCGGGGAGAAGAGUGUGGAAUCUAUUGUGGUUUCGAAUUAUAUUUUAAUGUUUAUUUUUUUUAUAUAAUUAUUAAUUCAAACUAUUAGUCAA